rnacentral:rRNA from 1 species
UACGUAGGGCGCGAGCGUUGUCCGGAAUCAUUGGGCGUAAAGAGCUCGUAGGCGGCCGGUUGCGUCUGCUGUGAAAUCCCGGGGCUUAACCCCGAGCCUGCUUCUGAUACGGGCAGACUAGAGGUAUGCAGGGGAGAACGGAAUUCCUGGUGUAGCGGUGAAAUGCGCAGAUAUCAGGAGGAACACCGGUGGCGAAGGCGGUUCUCUGGGCAUUACCUGACGCUGAGACACGAAAGCUGGGGGAGCGAACAGG